UACAGAGGGUGCGAGCGUUGUUCGGAAUUAUUGGGCGUAAAGGGCGCGUAGGCGGUGCGGUAAGUCACCUGUGAAAUCUCCUGGCUCAACUGGGAGCUUGCAGGCGAAACUGCCGUGCUGGAGUGUGGGAGAGGUGAGUGGAAUUCCCGGUGUAGCGGUGAAAUGCGUAGAUAUCGGAAGGAACACCGGUGGCGAAAGCGGCGCGCUGGCCCUCUACUGACGCUGAGGCGCGAAAGCCAGGGGAGCAAACGGG
rnacentral:rRNA from 1 species